GGCAAGAUGGCCGAGCGGUUAAGGCGGAAGACUCAAGAUAAUUAUCUUGCCUGUAAAUCAGGUCGCGUUCUUCUGGGGCAACCCGCGCGAGUUCGAAUCUCGUUCUUGUCA
rnacentral:tRNA from 1 species